ensembl:snoRNA AF357399 snoRNA AF357399
AGCACUUGUAUGGGUUUUUGUUUAACUGGUGGACAAAAAUUUUAGAGACAGGUGCAAAAAUAAAUCCUCUUUUGCAACCCAGAACUCAUUGGUGUAUGAGUUUUGGUACAUGUAAGAAGGAACAUC